rnacentral:lncRNA from 1 species
AGUAUCUUCCGAGGUCAGAAGGUGUCGAGCAUUGGUGGAAUCAGGGAAAAUGUUACAGUCCUCGGGCAACUUGCGUUAGAGAGCUGCAGGCGCGGCAGCACGGGUCCUUCCGAGCGCAGGCCGCCCCCCGCGGGGCCUCUGCCCAGGCGCCAUCUCGCGUGCGCGCGGAGCCCGAGGACCCCACGCCCCAUUCCGAGGGCGCCGCGCGGGGCGGGUUGCACGCUGAGCGGCCGGCGGCGCUGGGGGUCCGCCGGGAGGGCAGGGUGGGCGGCCUCCCUCCGCGGGAGCGGUCGGGCCCUGCUGAGCACGCUACGUUGGUCUGCGGACCCCUUUCAAAUUUCUGGCAGCAAAUCGCAGCGGCCUUCGGCCAACUCCUCUCCUGUUCAUUGGCCACCUGGAAACUCCAGCCCCUCCGCGCUGCCCUCCGCUCCGCCGGAAGCCAAUCGGCAGCAGCGGCGCUCCGUCACCAGGCGUCAUCGCCGACCGCGCGUGCCAUUGGCCCAGGGAGCUGCCGAUCGAAGGGUAGGCGGGGCCGCGCCGGCCGGCCUAUAUAAGCGGAGGACAAAGGCGGCGCGCCGCCUGUGUCAUCCGCCAUCUUGUGCGAAGCAAGGUGGCCUCCACGUUCCCCGAGCGUCUUCUCCGCUUCUGCCUCGACCGCCCCUUGAUCACAGACAUGUCUCGGGACCGGUUCCGGAGCCGCGGCGGCGGCGGCGGCGGCUUCCACCGGCGCGGAGGCGGCGGCGGCCGCGGUGGCCUCCACGACUUCCGCUCCCCGCCGCCCGGCAUGGGCCUCAAUCAGAACCGGGGACCCAUGGGGCCCGGCCCGGGCCAGGGCGGCCCCAAGCCCCCGAUCCCGCCACCACCUCCGCACCAGCAACAGCAGCAGCCGCCGCCGCAGCAGCCGCCGCCGCAGCAACCGCCGCCGCUUCAGCCGCCGCCGCAUCAGCCGCCGCAUCAGCAGCCGCCGCCGCCGCCAGGACUCGUCCAAGCCUGUGGGUCCUCAGGGGCCCGGCCCGGCGCCGGGAGUGGGCAGCGCGCCGCCGGCCUCCGGCUCGGCACCGCCCGCGACUCCUCCGACCUCGGGGGCCCCUGCGGGCCCGGGGCCCACCCCGACUCCGCCGCCCGCCGUCACCUCGGCGCCGCCUGGGGCGCCCCCGCCCGCGCCGCCGAGCAGCGGGGUCCCCACCACCCCGCCCCAGGCCGGGGGCCCGCCGCCUCCGCCCGCAGGGGGCCCGGGCCCGGGGCCUAAACAGGGCCCAGGCCCCGGAGGCCCGAAAGGCGGCAAAAUGCCGGGCGGGCCGAAGCCCGGCGGCGGCCCGGGCCUGA